AGCGAACGCUGGCGGCAGGCCUAACACAUGCAAGUCGAACGAACCUUUCGGGGUUAGUGGCGGACGGGUGAGUAACACGUGGGAACGUGCCUUUAGGUGCGGAAUAACUCAGGGAAACUUGUGCUAAUACCGAAUGUGCCCUUCGGGGGAAAGAUUUAUCGCCUUUAGAGCGGCCCGCGUCUGAUUAGCUAGUUGGUUGAGGUAAUGGCUCACCAAGGCGACGAUCAGUAGCUGGUCUGAGAGGAUGAUCAGCCACAUUGGGACUGAGACACGGCCCAAAAUCCUACGGGAGGCAGCAGUGGGGAAUCUUGCGCAAUGGGCGAAAGCCUGACGCAGCCAUGCCGCGUGAAUGAUGAAGGUCUUAGGAUUGUAAAAUUCUUUCACCGGGGACGAUAAUGACGGUACCCGGAGAAGAAGCCCCGGCUAACUUCGUG
rnacentral:rRNA from 1 species